GCAAUGACUGGAUCAUGUCGGGAAGUACCGAAGGGAUGAACAAAGAUAAUCUUAUACUUGGCCACUUGUUUUGGAACACCAUGUUCCUUGUAGGCCAAAAAUCUUCCAUCCCUUAGCCUUAUUCUAGGCGCUGUGACAGGUGGACCGCCAGGCGAACCACAGAUGUUCGGAGGGGGUGGUCGGGCGGCCUGAUGUGCCCACGCCAGCAAUCCAACCAACAAGAUGAAUGCGAUCCUGUUAAACAUCAUUGAGAAGAUGAAGUAUGGAGCUUUGCUCAACUGCAGUGAAGAAGCAAAUACAAAAAUAACAUUACACUUGAGGACAUUAUAUAAUAAGUUCUAAUUUUGCCUCAAUUGGAUCACUCCAAUUUUUAAGAGCUCAAAUAAAAAUGGUGUAAUGUAUAAACAAUACAAAUACAAACACACUUUUCAUUUAUCGAAAAUGAUAUUCUAAUAUCUAAACAACAAGAGACGGAUUCCAAUAUUUAAGAGAACGCGGUGUUCUAACCAACUAGGUUAUACUAAUUGUUUCUAUAGCGAACACAAUCAAUAAAUAAGUUGGAAAUUAAAAGAUGCACUCCUUUGUUUAACCGAAACCACAAGAAAAGAAAAUCAUAUGCACAUAAAAAAUCAUACUUCCUAAUGUGCUUUUUUGGAAAAAACUUACCACCAAUGCUCCUCCCUCUGAUAUUUAUAUGUUUAUGCAGAAGAAAAUGGCAGAAACAGGCUGAGUGAGCAGCUGCUUUUAGCUUUAGUGUGGUGCUGAAGCUGCCGGUGUCGGUGGGCUGCUUGUUUUCGUAUUGACAAACGAAGAAGAUAGAGAAGUCAUGAAGAAAAUUCGUCCAUCACAAUGAUGAGAAGUCAGAAAGAUGAGAAGGGAUAUAGUUUUGUUAGACAUUUUUAAUUCAUUAUGGUGUUUGGUAUCGCGUUCCACCUAACACAAGUUACACAACCAGCCACACAGAAAAAUCCAUCCACUGAUGAUUUUGGCAUACCUUCCCGGCUUUCCUUUUCACCUUUUUUAUCUUUUUCUGUAUUGGAACUUUUAUGAGUCAUCAGUCAUCAGACCCAUCACAAAUGUGGUAUUAAUGCAAUGUCAUUACAGCAUCUCUAAACAUGGUGUAAAAACAACUAAAAUUUUAUUUUAAUGAGUCAAAUUUAAAAAUAAUAUUGUUGUAGCAAAAAGCUGUCUUUAGUCUUGACGAAUUUGAUCAAGGUCAAAGCCACACACGCGCCCACGAGUUGGGGGUUUAGCCAAUAGAUCUCUGAUGCUUAAUCUGAAAAGAGUGAGUUUUUAGAGCUUGAGUGUGUAGCAAAAGCUUACCAGAAAAUGGUGUAGAUGCAGUAUUUAUGGGAAGAUGGGUAGUCAUAAUGUUAGGAUUUUUCCUUACACAUGACGGUUUCCCAUUGGCCAAGGUGUGAUAUUCAUAGGAUGGAUAAGAAAAGAAUUAUCCCGAAGAUAUUAACUAUGAGAUAAUACCUUGGGAUUAUCAAGUAUCUUUGAUUGCUUCUGAUGAGAAUUCCUUGCCUGUUUGAGUUGAUUUUCAAUUAGGAAUGUAUUAACGAUAGAAUUUGGUGACUAAUCCUAUCAUUAAUGUAUUUAACUUUUCCAUGUUACGACAGGAAACUUGGUGAUGUUGUAUUCAGCAGCUCAAUUCUCUAGGGAUAUUGAACUGCAUGUGUGAAUAUUUGUGGGCCCUACCCAUUAAUGAGGGCUUUAUUGUAUUUUUUUGGAAAAAAAAGUCACAUGUUUUUUCUAGAAUUUUUAGAAUUAUUUUUUGCUCCACACACAUCUCUAAUAGACUAUAUAAAAAAGUCUUUAUUAUAACAUAAGGAAUAGUCACUUUUCAAAUUUAUAGAGUAAUUGUCCAUCAGCUAAAUAUUUAAAAAAUAAAAUUAAAAGUUGACCCUUGAGCAACGAAAAAAGAAAGAAAUAGAAGACUGUUGUAGAAAUGGUUUUUUACACAAGUACCACUUGAACUUGUAAGCAUGUGCGAUAAUAAUACCUAAACUUUCAAUUUUUAUUUGUUACCACCUGGACCCUCUUAAGUGUUGGAAUGUACCACCUACGUUACUUUUCAUCCAUUCUACUGUUAAAACAUGUCACCUGAAGAGAUUUUUUUCAUCAAUUAACUUCAUGCGGCUAUUUAGAAUCAAUAUGCUCCAAAAUAAUAGUGUCUGAGUUAAUAUUGCGCUAAAAUUGGGGGUUUGUAUAACUCCAGUUUGGCAAUUCCCUUUAUAAAAGUUAGAAAAAUUCAUAUUUGUAUAAAUUAAGAUAAAUCACACACCCACUUGCUGAUCCAAAAAAAAAAAAAAAAAAGUGAAAAUACAUUGUAAAUGAAAGACUAGAUUUUGUACAAUAUUUCUACUUCAAUUCUUCAACAGUCCUUGCCAAAAUCAAAUCAGAAAUCAACUUCUUCCUUUCUCUUGAUGACCUAACUCCAAGUCCGCUAAAAAUUCGCCUUUUGCCUUUGUACAAAUUGACAAUAGUGAUCCCUAAAAAGUGAAUUGACAAAAAUAUCCCUCCAUGUGAAGAGCGCGUGAAAUAUUUUAACGGAAAAAUAGAUGAAAAGUAAUGUAGGUGGUAGGUUCUAAAAAUUAAGAGUGUCUAGGUGGUAAAAAAUAAAAAUGAAAGUUCAUGUGGUACUUGUACAAAAUCCUCCAAAUAAGAAUAAAUGAGUUGGGGUUGAAUUGUUAAUAAAAAAAAUAUUCAAAGUUUGUUAAAAUAAAGAGUGUUGUUGGAGAUGGAAAGUUAAACUAAAUAGCUAAAAUAGUUUUUUGGCACUUUUGACUUGCUAGUUAAUAAAAAUUUAGAGCUUUUUAUAGACAUGUUAUAGUGCUAGAGCAUCUUCAAGAGACUUUUUAAUAUAACUAGUGGCGGAUCCAAAAUUCUACCAUCGGGUGGCCCUAAUCAAGGCACACUAGGAUAGGCGCUACUUAGGUGGUGGGUUGCGGCCUCGCGCCUGUGCGCUUAGAUGGGGCCUAGGCAAACUAGGCAGAUUUAAAUAAAUUUAAUAUAUAACAUAUAAUAAGUGCCCAUUUACACUUUAAAAAACUAUACUUAUGAUUAGGAUUUGAGUUUAUUAUUUUAAAUAGGUUUAUUAUUUGACAUAUAACAUACAAAAACAUCAGAAUUUUUGCUUUAGUAAUUUAGUGAAUUAGAUGGUAUGAGAUGAAAGUUUAAGUGAUUACGUGACGCAAUAUUUUACGAAAUAUUUUUUCAAAUGUCGUAUGUAUAAUGAAUUUUAAAAGAAAUAACUGUAUCAAACACGUGUUAUAAAAAAUAUUGAUUUAGUAAUCCACCAUCUGUUGUAAAUAGUGGGUAUGUUUGCCCACAUGUGUAUAGUAAAGUACCACAUGUGUAUAGUAAUGUGUAUAGUAAAUACUCAUAUGCAUAUAGUAAGCCUUUCACUAUGUUGCUUGUGAUUUGCUUCUAUAAAAGCAAGUCUUAUGGAACACAACAAAAGAUUUAGGAGAUGAAAAAAGCAAGUCUUAUGGAACACAACAAAAGAUUUAGGAGACGAAGGUGAGAGGUUCAUGGGAGAGAUAGGAAGAAUAAAAGGAAGAGAGAAAAGAGAGAAAGAGGAGAGGAGAUAAUAGAGAGAGUUAUCUUUGUACUCUUAUUAUUUCAGAUUAUAAUGAAAACACCACCGCUGCCCCGAUGACGUACUCCAGUCACACUGAUUGUAGAGGAACCUCGUAAAUUUUGUGUCUUGUUUCAUUUAUUCCACUGCACACGCCGUCGAUUUUACAACACAUUAUCAACACGAGAAGCUCUCGUGUCAGUAGAAAGCACAACAUCACAAAUCUUGUUCAUCUCUAUCGCCUGAAAUCUCACAGAUAAGAAAAUCUUUUCAUUUUAUCUUAAAAUCUUUGUACUACUGAUUUUCUUGAAGCAAAUAUAUAUAUAUAUUGUUGUAUGACUGUAUAUCAUCAUUUGCAGAAGCAAAAGAGUACAAACUCAAAAAUUCGUAGAGAAUCUAACAGUCAUGUAAACAGCCUCGGAACUCCAACUUGCGGACCUCGGAUUGAAAUAUUUUCUUCUUCAAAGUUGUUUGUCUGCUCAAUAUCUACAACAUAUCAAAAUUUCAGAAAACUUUAACGGUGCGAUUGUCGCAGAUGUCUGAAAUACCAAACCAGUUUCCAAUUUCCGCAGAAAACUGGACAGCCACCUUAUGAGUACCAAAACUCUAUUUCGGUAGCUCAGAUUGAAAUUGUUUUUUCAUGAAAGUUGUUCGGUAUCCUCUUAUCCAUAUCAUACUAAAAUUUGACCUAAAUCUAACGGUUUGAUUUUCGCAUAAGUUGCAGACACUCUUGACUCCAAAACUUAUGGGAACCAUUUCGACUUUUUCGAAACUCAUCGGAGGAGGAACACCAAUUGGAACCUAUUGUUACUAUUAUUUCCUGAGUAACCAAAAUGACUUCAGAACUGUGAAAUGAAAACAAAAAUAAAAAGGGAAAUGGGGCCAAAGCUCUUGGAAAGGUGCGUUGCACCAUGUGAAAGAAAAAAAAAAGGACAAAGUUCUUGGAAUGUUGCAACAUGUGAAUGAAUAAGAAAAUAAUAAUAAUAAAAAUAGAUAAAGGCUUUUGGAUGGUGUUGCACCAUCUGAAAAGAAAGGAGAAACAAUAUAUUUAUUUAUGUGAAUGGUGUUGGCUUAAAACACUUUCACAAGUUCUUUUUACUUUAAAGCAAUUUAUUUACCAUGGACGGUUUUACCGCCCAUUGCUUUAAAUUUUGAUGGUGCUAAAUUAAAGCCUUUGUCACAAGUUUUAUUUACUUAAAUGCAAUUUAUUCAAUAUGGCUGGAAUUACCGCCUAUCGCUUUAAUUUAUUUAUUGCACUUAUCUUUUGUUACAAUGAGUAUAUAUAGGACCUAAAGUUCAUUGGUCAGAUCAGAACCUGCAGUUUCUUGAUCCUCAUCAUAUAAAAAUGAUUGGACCUGAAGUUCCAUCACGCAAAAAGAUCAGGUAUGAAGUCCCUUGAUCCUGAAGAUCAGGACAUGAAGUUCCUAGAUGAGUACCGUAAGUUUGAAGUGCCGCAGUGCCUUAACUUAAUUGUAAUAAAAGCGAUAAGAGUUUCAGUUUACAAACUAUUAAAUAAGGACCAGAAGUUCCUUAUGUCCAUACUCAAAAUGGUUUAGCAGAAGCCUUUAUUAAGCUGAUGAAAUUGAUUACGCGCGCUCUGCUCAUGAAAACGAAAUUGCCAGUUUUCUACAUGGGGACAUGUUAAUUCGGUUGAGACAUGUUACCAACCAUCAAUACUUCUCAGUACAACUCGUGUUUGGGAACCAGCCAAGCAUUAUACUUUUAUGAUUUUUUGGUUGUGUUAUCUAUGUGCCUAUUGCACAGCCACAAUAUAUUAAAAUGAGGCAUCAACACAAACUGGGAAUUUAUGUUGGAUUUGAUUCACCAUUUAUCAUUCAAUACCUAGAACCCUUGACUGGGGAUAUGUUUACCGCGUGGUAUGCGGACUAUGAUUUUGAUAAGAUAGUUAUCCCGCCAUUAGGGAGAGAAAAUAACAUUGUUCUAGAAGAACGAUGAGAAAAUAUCAUUCCAGAAGAAUGAUAAGAAGAGACCGUUCCAGAAGAACGAAGAGAAUUUGUCUUAUUUUGAUUCAUGAAGCAAUCAAUGAGAAAAUGAAAUAGGAAUGAUUAAAUGAUGCAACGAAAGUGAUGAAAUCACAUAUAUUUGCUGCAAAUGUGCCUACAAAAAUUGAUGUCCUUGUUGGACAAUAUAAUGAGGCUGUAAAUGAUUUCUCUGUUGCACGCCUGAAGCGUGGCAAACCCUUAGACUCAAAAGGUUCAGUCAUUUGAAAGAAGAAGAAUAUGGCAUUACUGAACUAUUGCAUUCUUGUAACAUAACUGUUGCAUGCCAGAAGCAUGACAGUCGUCGCAUGAAUACAUGGUCCAGAAGGACAAUCUGUGGACAUGGGAAUAUUGAUGUCUCAUGCAUGUAGUAUGAUAGACGUAUAGGUUCCAAUGACUUAACUCCCCAAAAGUGGAGAUUAAAAUCCAAGCUCUAUAACGCUCAAGAGGAGGUUAUGAUCUGCAUUCUUUAAAUUAUGACUAUCCUGGAAAAGAUAGUGUAAUAGCCUUGAAGAGGCAAUGGAUAUCCAAAUAAAUAAAAAGCUUUUAUGCAUGCGCAUGCACAUGAGAAUAUGGGAUCACAGAUUGAUGAUAACCAAUGACAAUGUUGGUUUUGACAAGUAGCUACUAAAUUCAUCAAUGAGCUGUGUUGAUAUUGAGUCCCGUUCUUUUGCGUCAACAAAAUUAUUGGCCAAUAAUGGAGAAAGGCAAUUCCAUUACAAUUUUGUAAGAACGUGGAAAAAUGGAUCUAUAUAUUUGAAUAUAAUACAAAUAGCCAAAAGAUGUUGAACCAAGGAGGUUACAUUGGGCAUUUGUAAUAUAGUGAAAUACACUCACAUGAUAUGACACAAGGUAUUGAAACCUGAAAUUAUACUCUUGUAAACGAGUUCAUAUGAAUGGAGAAUUAUAUACGAAGGGUUGUGAGUCGCCCACAUCAUAUCUCCAUAAGUAUCUUAAGUAUACAUGGAAGCAAAUUGCUCUAUAUAAAUUCCAAAGGAAAAUGUGUCAUGAAGUGUAGAAAAUCCCUGAAGGAUUCAAAUUGCUUAAAGUAAGCCCCCGAAGGGUAAAGCAUAAAAUAUGUUCUUAAUACCAAUGAAUGGUAUAAAUUACCUUAGUAAGUACUAUCAUUAUGAUAUUGUUGCAACCUCUUGCAAAAGGUUGAUGAUAUUAAAUUAGAACUCUUGAAGAGUUGAUAAUAUUAAAUUGGGACUCCUGAAGAGUCUAGAAAAAUUAUAAAGUGUUGAAGGAAUUAUUGUCUCGAGCUGCAGAUCGAACAAUAGACCAACACGAAUCUUAUCCAUGAUGUUUAUGAUAUUAAAAGAACCAUAUGGAUUGAAGAUUAUGAGUUGAAUACUCAAAUGAUGUAGACACUAAGAAUUAUCAUUUAUCUUUGUGAGGGUAAAGAUAAAUUAAUAUUGGUCCAGAAGUACCACAUCUUAGUGAAGUAUAUGCUUUAUUGUAUUUGACACAAUACAUUGAAUGAAAUAAAGCUUAUCUAUUAAUAUCUCCGAGAAAUUACAGAUAUGUACAUACACAUGAGUUAAAACAAACAAACAGGAUGGAGCCUUUACAAAGGUUGCUCAUGUGAAGCCUCAUUACUCGGAAGUACCCCAGAAGGGGGAGACACUGGAGAUUGAUCAUGUGGCACCCCAGUACUUAGCAAAACACCAGAAGGGGAAGGCAUCAGUUGUUUUCGGAAUCUAGCAACGAACCUCUGGUGAUCACUUUGAAUCCGACUUUCGGAUUCUUGCAGCUGAUCGAGCUUUCUUUUCAUGCUCGUCGAGUAAUUAUUUGCAAGCACGUGUAACAUUCUAUUCUCGUGCUUGAGCCAUCUGAUCUCUUGUUUAAGACUUGCCACCUCAGCCAUCAAUGAUUCAACUUGGCGAGUUUGAGCAAGUAGGCGUUGACCCAUAUUGGAAACAGAGCCAGCACACUGAACACUGAGAGCCAAGGAGUUUUGAAUGGCAAACUCAUCAGACCGUUUUGAAAGGAUCUUGUUAUCCUUUGGAGUGAGAAGAUUCCUAGCUACCACAGUAGCGGUUAUGUUAUUCUUCAUCACAUAGUCCCUAGCCGUAAGAGGACCAUUAAAAGAUAAGAAGGACGGGCGCCAUAUAUUAUCUUGACGCUGCUCGUCUGUAUCACUCCUAAGACUCAAAUCUAAGCAAAUGUUAGAUGAGCAAGUCAUUUUCAGAAAUGAUGAAGAAAAAAAAGAGGUCAAAUAAAAUUUCAGAAGUGCAAGAUGAGGGAAAUUUCUACAGGUAGCAACUUUUUGAGCAUACUCUUGAACACAAUUGAUGUCUCUAUAAAAGAAGAGGCAGCAGAGCCACUUGUUCAGAGAUCGAAGAGGCACCGCUCUCCGAAUUUCAAAAGCCAGAUUUUCCUAAAUAAAGUUCGUUGGCAUUUUUCAGACGCAAUCUCAGCUUUUUCGGAUAUCGCAUGCAAUUUUGUCAAAGAUCUCUGACAAAGUUGAAAACGUGUAAAUCUUACUGUUCUAAUUACACCACAGUUGCUGACAAGAGUAAAGGCACAACACCACCACUUGCUAUUGGGAAAUCUCUAUAUAUGUCGACCUUCGUUCUCCAUAACAAGGCAGACCAGCAAGCAUGUCCAACUCUUCAUCAUCUCCAAGAAUGCAUCUUCAAUAAAGCAUCUCGAAAUACUCAGUUUUCUUCCUCUCCGAGAAUACCUCUUCAAACAAGUCGCACCAGAGCAAGAUUAUCUCAUAUCUUCAGGGACGAGAGCAAAAGUAGUCAUCUUCAACUGUUGUUGGAGCUGGGUCUCUAGUCACCAAGAAAUGAUGAACCAUACAAAUGCAAGGGUUUGCAUUCCACUCCUGCAUCAGGGGACAAAUCCUUCAAGAGAAGAUGCCACACAUGUAGGGGGAAAACCGGAGAAAAUGCUACUUAAGCAAGGGGAGCAAGUAAGGCAAGUGAAAAUGAUACAUUGAAGCAUGUGGAGACAAGCGCAACAAACACGUGCUGAUUCAUCCCCGACAAAGCUGAAUAUCACUUGCCACGUGAAGCUCUUCACGAUACAACUUCAUUCAAGAUCAAGCCUCGAAGGUCCUUGAAGAAAUCACAAGUUUGAUUCAAGAUCAAGUGUCUACGACCCUUGAAUUAAAUUUAGCUCCAGAUAAAAGAAGUAAAUUCAGACAUUUGGAGCAAGUUUAGCAGAAGGCCCUCCAGCCCAGUUCAAGAACAAGUCUGUGGAAAGUUAACAACAAGUAAAGUACCUAUUUCGGCAACUCUUUUUACUAAGAGACUGAAGCAAAAUGAUCAACGAUCAGUCUAUAUGAUUUGAAAUCAAGGGGAGAUACUCAUCAGGGGAGCAUCCAAAACAGAUCAAGAUCUUAACGAGUCAAUUGAAGACUUAUGUGGGCAUCCAAGGGGGAGUGUUGUAAAUAGUGGGUAUGUUUGCCCACAUGUGUAUAGUAAAGUACCACAUGUGUAUAGUAAAUACUCACAUGCAUAUAGUAAGCCUUUCACAAUGUUGCUUGUGAUUUGCUUCUAUAAAAGCAAGUCUUAUGGAACACAACAAAAGAUUUGGGAGAUGAAGGUGAGAGGUUCAUGGGAGAGAUAGGAAGAAUAAAAGGAAGAGAGAAAAGAGAGAAGAGGAGAUGAGAUAAUAGAGAGAGUUAUCUUUGUACUCUUAUUAUUUCAGAUUAUAAUGAAAGCACCACUGCUGCCCCGAUGACGUACUCCUGUCACACUGAUUGUAGAGGAACCUCGUAAAUUUUGUGUCUUGUUUCAUUUAUUCCACUGCACACGCCGUCGAUUUUACAACACCAUCUCUUUAUUUAUUAAAAUGAUAUGUGACACAACCUAAUUAGAGAACAAUUAAAAAAAAAAAAAAUUGGGAAGUUGGUCACGUGGGAAAUGGAAAAAGAACGUUUUUCUUCAAAAUGGGGAGUUGGUCACAUGGGAAGUGUAGAGAGAAAGUUUUUCUUCUUUGUUGGAACCAGGUCCAAGAACAGGAGAAUCAUGGCUGUAUUCUCUGUGUUCCUCUUCGUCUGAACUUAGAUACUUCUUCUCAACCCUAAAACUGGAUUGCCGAAGUAAGCUUGAACUCUUUUGUUUCGCAACACCCUAUUCCUUCUCAGGCCUAUUCAAAUGGCUGUAUGGAUAAUGCUUUUAGGCUGAACCGAAGAAUUGGCUUGAAAUGAUUAUCCAAGUUGCUUGCCGUUUGACAGUUUCUGUUGCUUGUUUCAUGCAUUGGUAACUUAUUUUUUGUUCUUUAUUCCAAUUAUGGUCUUUCUAUUCAUUAUCUUUGACACAAUAAUGAAUAAAUUUUCUUUUGUUCAUUCGAAAGUACGGCAUUGCGUCUUUCACUUCUAGCCGGAAUUAGAAAUGGAAGAUUGAUAGAUUUCACUAAAAAUGAUAGCUAGCAGUUAGUACAGGCCAGAAAAUGGUGAUCUGUAGAAGAACUAACAGAGUGGUGCUGGCAUGUACAAAGUUUGAUUUUGGUCUCUGUAGUGUAUUUUUUAAAUUAUUAUUAGCGGGAGGGGGAGGUUCAAAACUAUUAUAAUAAUUUGAGGAAAGGGGGAGCUUUGAGCCCUAGAUGCAUAGGUGGAAAUCCAACAUCCUAUUACUAGGAUAUAUUGGACCACAUGCAGGUAUUACAUGGGUGGAAAUUCCAACCCCUUGUCCCUGUAGUAGUUUCAAUUGUCGGGUUUAUAAAGAGAUGCUUUACCUUGCGGGUGUUACAUUUGCACGAAUCGCAUUGCAUCUGUAUUUUGUGUAGUUCCAACUUUGCUGGAUUUAACCAUAAAAAUGGCCUGAGAUAUGGAACAUCAUACAACUAAUUUUGAAUCGACUCUCAUUAUUUCCUCUAUUUGAAUUGUAACAUUACAAAUAUUUGUCUUGGAACAUAAUUUGGAUAUAAUGUAGCAUCUCUGAGAGAGCUGCCCUGUAUCGACGACGUCAAUGGUCUACUCUUUAAUUAGAAGUGCCUUUAAGAUGACUUCACUCAUACCAUCUACAGCUGGCAACAAAUGUCCACCACCUGGUAACUCAUGGUAGUGAAUCCAUGGAAGCUUUUCGGCAAUAUAGCGUUGCAGCUCAACUGGGACAAGCUUAUCUUCGUCACCCUGCCAUAGAUGGACCGAGCCUUCGUUGUUGACAAAAGGGUUCUUCAGAUCCGUAGGAUCAAAUUCCCAGCUCCCAAAUCCAAUUAUGAUGUCGCGAAAGAUGGACUCAGCUUCUCCUCGCUGCGUGACAUGUUCCUGCCCAAACAAAUAACAAAACAAAACAAAAAUCAUCAACGCUGCCGAGUUUCUAUAAAAUCGUAAACAAUUAGCGAUCGAAUAAGGAAAGUACCUUGUGCUUUUCUCUUCCACAAACCUUUGCAUUCCUAAUGGUUUCCCAAUCUUGGCGGGAAAACAUAUUCUCUACUUUCCCGGAUAAAACGCUGUGUUUAGGAAAGAAAUUCUGAGUGUUCCACAAGUAGGUUAACCAAGGUAUAUAGUGAGCAGCUCGAAGCGCCCAUUGAUCAUGUCGAGCUUGCUUCUUAUAGGCAUAAGAUGACAGGUUGGCAGGAAGUCCUGGCCACCAGUAGUUGAUCACUAGAAUUCGGUGUUCUAACCAACAUGGUUAUACUAGUUGUUUCUAUAGCGAACACAAUCAAUAAAUAAGUUGGAAAUAAAAAGAUGCACUCCUUUGUUUAACCGAAACCACAAGAAAAGAGAUCAUAUGCACAUAAAAAAUCAUACUUCCUAAUGUGCUUUUUUGGUAAAAACUUACGACCAACGCUCCUCCCUCUGAUAAUUAUAUGUUUAUGCAGAAGAAAAUGGCAGAAACAGGCUGAGUGAGCAGCUGCUUUUAGCUUUUGUGUGGUGCUGAAGCUGCCGGUGUCGGUGGACUGCUUGUUUUCGUAUUGACAAACGAAGAAGAUAGAGAAGCCAUGAAGAAAAUUCAUCCAUGACAAUGUUGAGAAAUCAGAAAGAUGAGAAGGGAUAUAGUUUUGUUAGACAUUUUUAAUUCGUUGUGGUGUUUGGUAUCGCGUUCCACCUAACACAAGUUACACAACCAGCCACACAGAAAAAUCCAUCCACUGAUGAUUUUGGCAUACCUUCCCAGCUUUCCUUUUCACCUUUUUAUCUUUUUCUGUAUUGGAACUUUUAUGAGUCAUCAGUCAUCAGACCCAUCAUAAAUGUGGUAUUAAUGCAAUGCCAUUACAGCAUCUCUAAACAUAUUGUAAAAACAACUAAAAAUUUAUUUUAAUGAGUCAAAUUUAAAAAUAAUAUCGUUGUAGCAUAAAGUUAUCUUCAGUCUUGACGAAUUUGAUCAAGGUCAAAGCCACAAACGCGCCCACAAGGUGGGGGUUUAGCCAAUAGAUCUCUGAUGCCUAAUCUGAAAAGAGCGAGUUAUUAGAGUUUAAGUGCGCAGCAAAAGCUUACUAGAAAAUGGUGUAGAUGCAGUAUUUAUAGGAAGGUAAGCAGUCAUAAGGUUAGGAUUUUUCCUUGCACAUGACGGUUUCCAAUUGGCUAAGGUGUGAUAUCCAUAGGAUGGAUAAGGAAAGAAUUAUCCCGAAGAUAUUAACUAUGAGAUAAUACCUUGGGAUUACCUCAAAAUAUUUCCCGUGUGAAGAUUUGAGGAUACGGCGCAUCACUAUUCGUCCAGGAUGUCCCAAACGAUCAUGGCAAAGUGUAAUUUCGUGCGCGGUCCCAGUAGUAGGGCCGGCCACAUAGUGGCAUUCUAUGGGGCGUAUGGUCGUAGUAUACAAAUCACUCGGGAUGCGCUUAAUCUUUUCUAGAAUACGCUUCUGGCCAUAUUCGUAGGAAGUUAUGCAUAGAAAUUCAACUCCGUUUUCUAGGUGGGUUUCAGUGUGGUAAUUGUUAUAUCUAAUGUCCUUGAAACUAACAACGUUCUUCUGGAACGUGGAGAGUAGAGUGCCUCAGAAAUGGUCAAGAUUGUACCAUUAGAUAACAUUAUAUGUGCCUUACCGUAUCCUUCUAUCAGGUUGAAGGGGUCUGAGAGGGUUGUCAGAGGUGCAUUCUUAGGUAUGAAGUUAGUGAAAUAGAUGCGUUCACGCAAAGCUAUGUGCGUGGUUGCACUAUCUGCCAGACAACUAAAUUCCCACUAGUUAUACUUAGAAUGAAAAAUUAAUUUGAAUCGGUCACUUGCAAAAUUUUUUAUAAAAAACAGUUAUCAAUUUAAAAUAAUUACAUUUAUUCAAGGAUAAAACUUAAUAUCCAAAACAAACACCAACCAAUAAUCCAAACAUAAAGGAAAAUUGUUCAAAAAUCAACCAAAAACAUGUCACGCAUAAAGGAAAUAAUCUCAUUAUUUCCUCUAUUUGAAUUGUAACAUUACAAAUAUUUGUCUUGGAACAUAAUUUGGAUAUAAUGUAGCAUCUCUGAGAGAGCUGCCCUGUAUCGACGACGUCAAUGGUCUACUCUUUAAUUAGAAGUGCCUUUAAGAUGACUUCACUCAUACCAUCGGCAGCGGGCAACCAAUGUCCACUACCUGGUAACUCAUGGUAGUGAAUCCAUGGAAGCUUUUCGGCAAUAUAGCGUUGCAGCUCAACCGGAACAAGCUUAUCUUCGUCACCCUGCCAUAGAUGGACCGAGCCUUCGUUGUUGACAAAAGGAUUCUUCAGAUCCGUAGGAUCAAAUUCCCAGCUCCCAAAUCCAACUAUGAUGUCGCGAAAGAUGGACUCAGCUUCUCCUUGCUGCGUGACAUGUUCCUGCCCAAACAAAUAACAAAACAAAACAAAAAUCAUCAACGCUGCCGAGUUUCUAUAAAAUCCUAAAAAAUUAGCGAUCGAAUAAGGAAAGUACCUUGUGCUUUUCUCUUCCAGAAACAUUUGCAUUCCUAAUGAUUUCCCAAUCUUGGCGGGAAAACAUAUUCUCUGCUUUCCCGGAUACAACGCUGUGUUUAGGAAAGAAAUUCUGAGUGUUCCACCAGUAGGUUAACCAAGGUAUAUAGUGAGCAGCUCGAAGCGCCCAUUGAUCAUGUGGAGCUUGCUUCGUAUAGGCAUAAGAUGACAGGUUGGCAGGCAGUCCUGGCCACCAGUAGUUGAUCACCGGAGCGAUCAGUGCUGCUCCAGCUAGCCUGUCGUAACAGGCAUCCCAAACACAUCGAACUUUAGAGAAAAAUUUCAGUACCGAAUGAUGCAUCAUCAGGUAAUGAGGCUGCUUGCAAAAUCUUACCUAUGAGGGAUGUACUGAAGACACUUCCAAAUGACUUGUCCUCCCAUUGAGAAUCCAAUCACAUAAAAUUUGGAUCCGAGUUCUAGCUGAUCACCAAGCUCCUCUAUAUCUAACGCCAAGCUCUUCGCUGUUCGCUUAGUAUCCGGAUCACUUUCACCGUACCCUGGUCUGUCGAAAGACACAAUGUACACACCUAAAUCUUCAAUAACUUCCUGAUAAAACAAAAAAAAAAAAAAAAAAAAAAACAUCCACCACGAAAUCAACUAAUAUAGAGUCGAACUGAAGAAUGACAGAGAACCAAUCAAGGUAGUACCGGAGAGACAGAUGUUGCAAUGACUGGAUCAUGUCGGGAAGCACCGAAGGGAUGAACAAAGAUAAUCUUAUACUUGGCCACUUGUUUUGGAACACCAUGUUCCUUGUAGGCCAAAAAUCUUCCAUCCCUUAGCCUUAUUCUAGGCGCUGUGACAGGUGGACCGCCAGGCGAACCACAGAUGUUCGGAGGUGGUGGUCGGGCGGCCUGAUACGCCCAUGCCAGCAAUCCAACCAACAAGAUGAAUGCGAUCCUCUUAAACAUCUUUGAGAAUGAAGUAUGAAACUUUGCUCAACUGCAGUAAAGAAGCAAAUACAAAAAUAACAUCACACUUGUGGACAUCAUAUAAUAAGUUUUAAUUUUGGUAUAUUUCCCUCAUUUAUAUUGGAUCACUCUAUUUUUUAUGAGCUCCAACAUAAACAGGACAUCUAAAUCAAACAAACACCAGGAAACAAGGGUAUAAACCAUAAACAAUACAAAUACAAACGCACAUUACAAUUAUCGAAAACGAUACUCUAAUAUCUAAUUCAAGAGACAGGAUUCUAAUAUUUAAGAGAACGCUGUCUUCGAACCAACAUGGUUAUACUAGUUGUUUCUAUAGCGAACACAAUCAAUAAAUAAGUUGGAAAUAAAAAGAUGCACUCCCUUGUUUAACCGAAACCACAAGAAAAGAAAUCAUAUGCACAUAAAAAAUCAUACUUCCUAAUGUGCUUUUUUGGUAAAAACUUACCACCAACGCUCCUCCCUCUCUGAUAAUUAUAUGUUUAUGCAGAAGAAAAUGGCAGAAACAGGCUGAGUGAGCAGCUGAUUUUAGCUUUUGUGUGGUGCUGAAGUGUCGGUGGGCUGCUUGUUUUCGUAUUGACAAACAAAGAAGAUAGAGAAGUCAUGAAGAAAAUUCGUCCAUCACAUUAAUGGGAAGUCAGAAACAUGAGAAGUCAUAUAGUUUUGUUAGACAUUUUUAAUUCAUUGUGGUAUUUGCUAUCGCGUUCCACCUACCAGCCACACAGAAAAAUCCAUCACAAAUGUGGUAUUGGUUAAUGCAAUGCCAUUACAGCAUCUCCAAACAUGUUGUAAAACAACUAAAAUUUUAUUUUAACGAGUCAAAUUUAAAAAUAAUAUUGUUGUAGCUAAAAAUUGUUUUCAGUCUUGACGAAUUUGAUAAAGGUCAAAACCACACACACGCCCACAAGGUGGGGGUUUAGCCAAUAGAUUUCCGAUGCCUAAUCUAAAAAGAGUGAGUUUUUAGAGCUUAAAUGCGUAGCAAAAGCUUACCAGAAAAUAGAGAUGGAGUAUCUAUAGGAAGGUGGGCAGCCAUAAGGUUAGGGUUUUUCCUUUCACAUGACGAUUUCCCAUUGACCAAGGUGUGAUAUCCAUAGGAUGGAUAAGAAAAGAAUGAUCUCGAAGAUAUUAACUAUGAGAUAAUAUCUUGGGAUUAUCAAGUAUCCUUGAUUGCUUGUGAUGAGAAUUCCUUACACUAGUACAAAAAACACUUUGCGCGAUGCAGGUCCUUCGUCGAGCAAAGUUAAAAAAUCGUCGCGCAAACAUUAGAGCAACGAACCUUCGUUGCGCGCCAACCGUCGCGCCAAGGCAGUGACGGAAGGGUUUGUGCGACGAAGAAGUAACCUACGUCGCGCAAAGCCACUUUGCGCGACGCAGGAACAUGCGUCGAGCAAAGUGUCUUUGCGCGACGCAGGUCCCUACGUCGUGCAAAACUACUUUGCGUGACGCUUCUUCGUCGCGCAAAGUUUUUUUUUUUUUUUUUGGUAAACAUAUUUUUUUAUUUAAUUUUUUAUAAAUAUUGUAAUUAAAUUAUAAACAAUAAUUAAGAAACCAAAAAAAAGUAUUUAAUUAUAAAAUAUAUGAAAAUGUACAUACAAGAUGUUCAAACAUAAAAGAAAAAACUAAUUGACCAAAAAAAAAAACAUAAAAGAAAAAACUACAACAAGUAGUCUUCUAGGCUUGAUGCAUGCAUCAGACUACUAAGUAUUGGCUGGUGGUGUAGCCUUGCCACGCUGAUGAAAACCAUUGCCUCUCAGUCUGUUGUAAUCUCCAUCCGUAACUACCUCUGCUUGAACUCCGGCCACCAAAACGCCCCCUUGUGGCGUCAGUUUGGUAACCUCCUCUGCCUCUGCCCCUUCCUCCUGGUUGAAAAAUUCAAAAUCCACAUAAGGAGACCAAAAGUUGAGCAAAUUAAAUGUUAUCUCUAAGGAAAACAGAUGCAUAGAUGCUUAAUAGUUUGGUAGAUCACAUUCUAAAUGCUGGCUAUGCCAAUAAACUCAGUAAGCUCAUGAACAGGACAACAUCUAUAUCUAACGCCAAGCUUUUCGUUGUUCGCUUAGGAUCCGGAUCACUUUCACCGUGCCCUGGUCUGUCGAAAGACACAAUGUACACACCUAAAUCUUCAAUAACUUCCUGAGGAAAGAAAAAAAACACCCACCACGAAAUCAACCAAUAAAGAGUUGAACUGAAAAAUGACAAAGAAUCAAGCAAGGCAGUACCGGAGAGACGGCUGUUGCAAUGAUUGGAUCAUGUCGGGAACUAAAGAAGGGAUGAACAAAGAUAAUCUUGUACUUGGUCACUUGUUUUGGAACACCAUGUUCCUUGUAGGCCAAAAAUCUUCCAUCCCUUAGCCUUAUUCUAGACGCUGUGACGAGUGGACCGCCAGGCGAACCACAGAUGUUCGGAGGUGGUGGUCGGGCGGCCUGAUACGCCCACGCCAGCAAUCCAACCAACAAGAUGAAUGUGAUCCUCUUAAACAUGUUUGAGAAGAUGGAAAGUAUGAAACUUUGCUCACCUGCAGUAAAGAAGCAAAUAGAAAAAUAACAUUACACUAGAGGACAUCAUUGUAUAAUAAGUU
rnacentral:lncRNA from 1 species